GCGCAGAGAGACCUUUGUCAUCCACGCUGCCAAAAGGAGCACCUGGUACACCCUAUAGGCGUGCCUUGUGUUUCACGUGUUUUCAUUUCCUGUUUGUGUCAUCCCAAAAAGCAGGGACGGAGCAAAUGGGACUGGUUCCCACUGUUGCUGUGUGAAGGCUUUUUACAGGCUGCUGUAUUGAUGUCAUCUUUUUUUCACCCCAAGUUUGGCUUUUCCCAUGCUUUUCCCGUAGCUGCUGCAUUGGGUGUCCCCAGGAGGGCUGGGUUCCUCAGCAGGGGUCUUAGGAGUUGCUAUGGAUUCUGAUUUUUCUGAAGCUGUAUGGAAGCGUGCUAGCGAAUCAGCUCUUUUCUCUCCUGAAAAGCUUUCCAUCUAUGUCCACCCGUGCGUCUCUGUGUUUUAAUCACGUAGCCGGACGCGCUGAGGUUUUUACUUUCUAAGCCAAAAGCUGAAGCAGAUGACCGUUUGCUUUGUGUGUGUGAGGAGUGGCAUUUGUGCUGGAGAGCUGCGGUUGGGAACAAAAGAUGGACUUAAUGUGCUCUGGGGACGGGCACGGGAGGAAACGCACAGAAAGGCAAGGCAGUGAUGAUUGCGGAGGAGAAAUGAGAGGUGGUUGCUUCCGAUCCGUGGGGACUUUCCUUGGGAGUGAUCGAUCAGAGAGCGUAUGGAAGUAGAGAGCGUCUUCUGGCUGCUUCUGUUCUGUAAACUUCUCCCUGGCUUCACAGGUCCGUGCUGGAGAGUGGGAGAAGGGUCCCUGCUGGCUGCCGUGUCCUGGGUGGGCACAGAGCUCUGACCUUGGCCAGAUGGGCUGGUUUCCGGGUGUUUUGAUCCUGACGUCGCCAAAGCCUCAGGUUUGCUGAAUUGGGGCUCUUACCUGUGUGACCCGUGAAAUGUCCCGGAAGCUGAUCGAUGUCUUCCUGCUCCCGCUGUGUUCAUUUGGGCUGUGCUUCAGGCUUCUCUCCCUGGGCCCUUGCCGUUGCUGUAUCUCUUGGAUGCCGUGCAGAACGGAAUCAGGCAGCCAAGCCUCAUGUUCACCUUCUCCCUCACCCUCUGCGCUGCUCGUGUGGCACAGCAGAUCCUGAAGCCAGAGGAGCACGUGUACAUAAGGGUAAAGAGAUUCCUUCUGUCGCACCGGUAUUUGGACCUGAGGAAGGUACCAGGUUUUCUCCAGCUUUUCUACAGUUUUGAUUUUGAGGUAAGAGUCCCAUUUUAGGUACCCAGUAAUUCUUCAGAAAUGUAUUAGAAACAGCCGCAAAAUUACAAUGAAACCUCAUGCUCCCACGGGUAGUUAAUUAGAAGCGUCUUUCUUAUGUUUCAUGUAGGAAUUCAAAAUGUUAUUUCUGUGAGGUUUUUGUUGUCUUCUUAAUACUAGCGCACAAGGAGUUGUGCUGUGUAUGCUCUGUGAGCACAAGAAAAGAAUGUUCUGCCCCGGCUAGCUACAAUUCCUCUUUGAGUUUAGGUUAGUAACUUUGAGUUCAACUGAAGUAUUUUAGAAACAGCAACUUCUAAAAUUCCAUUUCCACUGCAUGUUUGGGCUGCAGACUGACUGUUCCCAAUGGAUGUUAGCGAUUAAAUUUGAUAGGAAUGGAACAUUGAGAAGUCCAGAAGAAGCUGUGGUAAUUCCUGAGCUGGCACUCAGAGGGAACCGGGGUUUUGUGCUCUUAGGAGCAUGUAUCCUUUGGAAAUGUCUGAAUGUCUGACGGUGGUAUUUUUCUUUAUGGCUUCCAGUACAAAACAGCACGAGUGGGUCCUCAGAUUUCUUGGGGAAGGGCUGCGUGACAAACAUUGCUGUGAGCUCUAUGUCUACCAGAGGAUUUUCCGGGUCAUUCUUUCCUUUCUCAGCAGUCCUUUGUGUGACCAGGGCUCCCAGAGUCCUAUUCUGGAGAUACGACAGAGUGCUGCCCGCGUCACCUCUAGAGCUGCCCAUGAGCCGAUAGAGGAUCACAGCCUCCUCUCGUGGGUCCUGCACGGCUUAGAGAAAAGGUUUCUGGAGAACCAGGUGAUAAAUAAAAUGAUUUCCUUACUCCAUCCUUUGUGGCUAAUAAGUUUAGGAGACAAGAGAGAAAACAGGAAUCGAUCCCAGAUGCUGCUGUUGAGAUGGGUAUAUGAUCUACCUGUAUAUAGAUAUAUGCGUAUCUCUGUAUAUCUGUGUAGUGAUAAUAAUGGGAGUUUUUAUGAUACGUUGCUUUACUGUUUUAUAUUUUUCAUAAAGCGUGAUUUUAAGUUAUUAGGUAUAACAUUUUAUUCUGCUUAUUGGCUAAAGUAACAUUUUCUUGUAUUUGAUUGGUAUCAAGUCAUGUUAAUCAUUAAUUGGUAAGAGUUUAUAAUGAAUUAUUAAGGUGUGAAUAUUGUUCAUUGAGGUACGUCUUUUUUUUACUGUAGGUAUUUUCAUGUGUUCGUAUGGGUUUUUAUGUUAAUGAUUUUGGGUUUUUGUGUUAUGAAUAUAUUAGUAUUUUAUUAGGGGUUUUUUUGGUUAGUUUACUUGUUUGGUGUGUAGAUCACUCCUGUUAAGUAUGUUUAUCUAUAUAUGUUUUAAAAUGUAAAUUAUAAAUCUACUUGUUAAGGAUUUUUGUAGAGUUCUAUGUAAAAAUUUAAAUCGGUAGGGGAGAUAAAAAGCAGUAAUUAUUAAUAAGAUGAGUAUUUUAGUUUUUAAUAAUGAUUUAAGUUAUUCAGCGAUGUUUUAAUUUUUGAAAAUAUUAUUUAGUUAUUUUUUAUGUGCGAUUGAUUAAUUUUUUAAAAAAAAAUUAGUAAUGUUUUUGUAAAUUGAUUUCUUGUGAUUUCAUCAAUUUAUAUAUUUUUUAAAACGUUUUCUAUUUAUGAUUGUGUGUGAAUAAUAAAAAAUGAACAGUUGUUUUAUUUUGUAAGGUAGUAUGUUUAAAGAUGUUCAUAUUUGGCAGUAAUUUAUUUAACGUUAUACAUGUGUUAUUGUUUGAUUUGGUUAGUUAAUAAGUAAGUUCAUUUGAUGUGCUUCAAGUGUGAGUUGUAGUUAUUUUAGGUAUUAAAAGAGAUGUAGAACUAAUAGAAUUAGGUUGUUAAAAGGUUGUACGAUUUUGAUCCUGGGAAGUAAAUUUGUGUUGGAGUGAUUGGGUAUUUUUGGGUGGGUGUUCUUUUCUUUUGGUUGUUUUUUUUUUGUUUGUUUGUUUUUAUGUAGUAUUGUUAUGUUUGGUCUUAGUGGGUUAAUUGUUUUAAAUUGUAGGUUUGCUGUUUUGAGGUAACUUCUUUGUGGUUUGGUGUGGUUUGGGGGUUGUUUUGUAACUAAAUAUUGUACAAGUAUUUGUUUGUAAUGAUUUGAGUAAUUUUACUUUUGGUGGUUUACCUGUCAUUUGGGGUAUGAGUGUAUAAAUGUUAUUUGAAGAGUUUA